UACGUAGGGUGCAGGCGUUAAUCGGAAUUACUGGGCGUAAAGCGUGCGCAGGCGGUUUGCUAAGACAGGUGUGAAAUCCCCGGGCUUAACCUGGGAACUGCGCUUGUAACUGGCAAGCUGGAGUGUGGCAGAGGGGGGUGGAAUUCCACGUGUAGCAGUGAAAUGCGUAGAGAUGUGGAGGAACACCGAUGGCGAAGGCAGCCCCCUGGGCUAGCACUGACGCUCAUGCACAAAAGCGUGGGGAGCAAACAGG
rnacentral:rRNA from 1 species